GUAAAGUAUUUAGAGCUUCUAAUUCCACUUUUCCUUAAGGGAGGAUGAACUCUGUAGCAAUUACCUUGUGACUUCUGAGGAUCACCUUUGGAAGGCUUGGUGUUACGAACAUUGGGAUAAGAAUUUUACAAAACAUCAAAAAGAUUAUAAUAUUAAGAGCAGAAGCCUUGAUUUAUUUAUCAAAGAAACCCCAGUAAUUAACACAGUCUGACUUUAAAGGACCUCUUUCAAAUCAUCAGCACCUUCAGAAUUUUUCUUCUGAGCCAUAGAGAACAAAAAUUGUGAGUUAGCACUUUCUCUAACCUUGUUAAAGAAGAGCACAGACAGCAGUGAUCCAUACACUCAGGUAAGAUUCCAAUCUCAGUGUGUAGGGAACACACUAAACACCAGUUGGUUUCCUGGACUGGCUAAUGUUCUCCACUUUCUCUUCUGUCCUGGUUUUCCCGG
rnacentral:lncRNA from 1 species